UUUUGGGCUUAGUUGGUUGUGGAGCACAUGAAAACUCCAUAGUUAAGCGUGCUCAGGUUGAAGUAGUACCAGGAUGGGUGACCUCCUGGGAAGUCUCCACAGAAGCAACCA
rfam:Helianthus annuus linkage group 4, whole genome shotgun sequence.